UGAGGAAUAUUGGUCAAUGGGCGAGAGCCUGAACCAGCCAAGUCGCGUGAAGGAAGACAGUCCUAAGGAUUUUAAACUUCUUUUAUACGGGAAUAACGGGCGAUACGAGUAUUGCAUUGAAUGUACCGUAAGAAUAAGCAUCGGCUAACUACGUGCCAGCAGCCGCGGUAAUACGGAGGAUGCGAGCGUUAUCCGGAUUUAUUGGGUUUAAAGGGUGCGUAGGUUGUUCGGUAAGUCAGCGGUGAAACCUGAGCGCUCAACGUUCAGCCUGCCGUUGAAACUGCCGGGCUUGAGUUCAGUGGCGGCAGGCGGAAUUCGUGGUGUAGCGGUGAAAUGCAUAGAUAUCACGAGGAACUCCGAUUGCGAAGGCAGCUUGCCAUACUGCGACUGACACUGAAGCACGAAGGCGUGGGUAUCAAACAGG
rnacentral:rRNA from 1 species